CUCAGGACGAACGCUGGCGGCGUGCCUAAUACAUGCAAGUAGAACGCUGAGGACUGGUGCUUGCACUGGUCUAAGGAGUUGCGAACGGGUGAGUAACGCGUAGGUAACCUACCUCAUAGCGGGGGAUAACUAUUGGAAACGAUAGCUAAUACCGCAUGACAAUAGGGUACACAUGUACCUAAUUUAAAAGGGGCAAAUGCUUCACUAUGAGAUGGACCUGCGUUGUAUUAGCUAGUUGGUAAGGUAACGGCUUACCAAGGCGACGAUACAUAGCCGACCUGAGAGGGUGAUCGGCCACACUGGGACUGAGACACGGCCCAGACUCCUACGGGAGGCAGCAGUAGGGAAUCUUCGGCAAUGGGGGGAACCCUGACCGAGCAACGCCGCGUGAGUGAAGAAGGUUUUCGGAUUGUAAAGCUCUGUUGUUAGAGAAGAACGGUAAUGGGAGUGGAAAAUCCAUUACG
rnacentral:rRNA from 1 species